AAAAGAGUCACUAAAAAUCUUCCAAAGGAAUUGAUUGAAUUUCAAACUUCUUUCUGCAUUGCCAAUACAGAUUGAAUGUUUAGAUUAAAAAAUUUGCUUUAGGAAUGCCUUAUUAAAAAAAAAAAAAUAAGGCACAGUUCAUUUUAAACUGUGAUACUCCUGUGAGAGUGGAGCUGAAAUGUUGCAUUCUCAGCUCAGUACUCCCAGUGCUGGAAGGAUUUGGGAAAGACAGAAGGUAUUCACAGAAGAGCAACAAAAAUGAUUAAGGGAGUAGAGAGAUUGAUGACUUGAUGUGUGAAGAAAUAUUAAGGGAGCUAAAUAUGUAUUGCUUGCCCGUCUAAAUGAUGGAUACAAAAAAUGCAAGGAGCUUUCUUGAAUUGAUGAUUGAUUAGGUGAAAUGGAUGAAGGGGAUGAAAAGAAUUAUUGCCUGCUGCGCUGUAGGAACAGUGAUUCUGGAUUAGAUCAGCAAUAUGUGACCAGUAUCUCAUCUUUAGCAGUGGGGGGUAGCUGAUGCUCAUAAAAGAAAAAAAAAAAAAAAAAAAGAAUAAUCUCAGCUGGGUAAUUACAGAUUUCCCUGUCUAAGGAGAAAGGUUUCUACGGUUGUCUUAAGUGUGUGAAAAAAAAUGGAUGGGAAGGUGAAAAGUACAUAGAACAAAAGUAACUCUUACUGAGAGUGUAAAGAGUUAAUGAACAGAGGUGCUCUGAAAACGCUGCUCUUAAAGCCUAUGUAUUUUUUCUAUUUUAAUCUCAAUGAAACCACAAAAGACCUGAUUGUCUGUCUGGCUGCUAAAUCCUGAUUUAAUUCACCAGGAUUGUGGAGCACGUAUCUAUCUAACAGGGAUUUUUCAAUUUUCUCCUUCAUGAUUCUGUGUGUACUGUUCUAACAUAUUUGGGAUGGCAACUGCUAAAAAUUUGCUGUAAAAUAGUUCAGUAGAUAACAUAGCCAAACCAUAACCUUAGCCCAGCAUUGUUUGAAGUUGUCUGAAUGGAUUUGAUGCUAAACCUUCAGUUUUUUUGUGGGCUGUCAUUAAAUUAUUACACUUCAAUUUUUUGAAGCCAAUGUUGACAUUGCCUGUAUUGCAUUUCACUUAAGUUGAAGGAGAAGCCGCCCAAACGAAAAAUGAAAUAGAAAUCCAAGAAGGAGCUCAAAGAUUUUUGCUCUCAGUGGUGAGGAUUCUAUUGAAGUUGUUGUGCACCAGUGUCCUUAAACAGAGCACAGAUAAGCAUCUGACAUACGAAUGCUGCUAUCAGGCUGGGAGGUGCCCUGACAACUCCUGUCCCAGUGCUGAGCCACAAGCAAGUUCUGUGCUGGACUUCUACAACCAGUGUCAUUGAUAACCUUGUUAUUUCCCAGUCUCACAUCUGCUUAUCUGCGUAGGUUUGCUGAAUGCUCGCUUCCUCAACAAAGGGAGUGUCAUUGGGUGUAUCUCAGUGGAACAGAAUGGAUUUUAAUCAACUGCUGAGAAAAUGAGAUAUUACGCUGGGACGAGAAUAGCUGCUUGAUAGAAACUUCUCUUUAAAAGUAUAAUUCUUCAGCAUUCAGUUUUGUUUCCGUUGUCAAGUACUGCAUAAAAAUGACAUUAAAAACAUAUCCAACUUUGAGUAUUUUUGUCAGAACAUAAAAGGAAAGACUCAUGCCAGCAAGCAAGAGGCUUCUUGAUGUGUUCUCUGAGUUGCAAAUAGAAAUGAGUACACUGAAAGCAUUGUAAACUGAGUGUGAGCAAGACCCGCAACGAUGGUUUAUGUUCCUGGUAUUUACUGUGUUAGCGUUUAACAAGAAACUGGAAGAACU
ensembl:lncRNA